GAGUUUGAUCCUGGCUCAGGAUGAACGCUAGCGGUAUGCUUUACACAUGCAAGUCGUACGAAAGUUUUUUUUAAUUAACUUUAAGUGGCAAACGGGUGAGUAACACGUGAGAAUUUACCUUUAGGAGGAGGAUAACUGUGGGAAACUAUUGUUAAUACUCCAUAUGCUUAAUAAGUGAAAUGGAUUUAUUCGCCUAAAGAAAAGCUCGCGGCUGAUUAGCUUGUUGGUAAGGUAAUGGCUUACCAAGGCGACGAUCAGUAUCUGGUUUUAGAGGACGAUCAGACACACUGGAACUGAGACACGGUCCAGACUCCUACGGGAGGCAGCAGUGAGGAAUUUUCCGCAAUGGGCGAAAGCCUGACGGAGCAAUACCGCGUGAGGGAAGAAUGCCCAUGGGUUGUAAACCUCUUUUUUCAGUGAGGAAUAAAUGACAUGUACCUGAAGAAUAAGCAUCGGCUAACUCCGUGCCAGCAGCCGCGGUAAUACGGAGGAUGCGAGUGUUAUCCGGAAUUAUUGGGCGUAAAGCGUCUGUAGGUGGUUAAGUAAGUCAAUUGUUAAAUCUUGAAGCUCAACUUUAAAACUGCAAUUGAAACUAUUUAACUAGAGUAUAGUAGAGGUAAAGGGAAUUUCCAGUGUAGCGGUGAAAUGUGUAGAUAUUGGAAGGAACACCAAUGGCGAAGGCACUUUACUGGGCUAUUACUGACACUCAGAGACGAAAGCUAGGGUAGCAAAUGGGAUUAGAUACCCCAGUAGUCCUAGCUGUAAACGAUGGAUACUAGAUGUUGACCAGAUCGACCUGCGCAGUAUCAAAGCUAACGCGUUAAGUAUCCCGCCUGGGAAGUAUAUUCGCAAGAAUGAAACUCAAAGGAGUUGACGGGGGCCCGUACAAGCGGUGGAGCAUGUGGUUUAAUUCGAUGCUACGCGAAGAACCUUACCAGGGUUUGACAUGGUACGAAUUUUUGUGAAAACAAAAAGUGCCUUUUGGAACGUAUACACAGGUGGUGCAUGGCUGUCGUCAGCUCGUGUCGUGAGAUGUUGGAUUAAGUUCCGCAACGAGCGCAACCCUUUUUUUUAGUUGCCAUUUUGGAACUCUAAAAAUACUGCUGGUUAUAAGCCGGAGGAAGGUGAGGACGACGUCAAGUCAGUAUGCCCCUUAUACCCUGGGCUACACACGUGCUACAUUGGGUAAGACAAUAAGUUGCAAUUUUGCAAAAAUGAGCUAAUCUUUAAACUUAUUCUAAGUUCGGAUUAUAGGCUGCAACUCGCCUAUAUAAAGAUGGAAUCGCUAGUAAUCGCUGGUCAGCUAUACAGCGGUGAAUACGUUCUCGGGCCUUGUACACACCGCCCGUCACACCAUGGAAGCUGGUUAUACCUGAAAUCAUAUAAUUUAACCAUUUUAUUGGGGGAGUAUGCUUAAGGUAGAAUUAGUGACUAGGGUGAAGUCGUAACAAGGUAACC
rnacentral:rRNA from 1 species